rnacentral:snoRNA from 1 species
AUUCCAUGAUGGGAACAUUCUAGGAUGUAGUCUUAAAAGCGCUCCCAUGCUUCUAGAACAGAUUCAUCAUUUUGUUGCUGAAAACUUGUAAUCUUCCCACGGAGAGC